rnacentral:rRNA from 1 species
GUGGACGCCAGUCUGCAUGGAGCCGACCUUGAAAUACCACCCUUUAAUGUUUGAUGUUCUAACGUGGACCCGUAAUCCGGGUUGCGGACAGUGUCUGGUGGGUAGUUUGACUGGGGCGGUCUCCUCCUAAAGAGUAACGGAGGAGCACGAAGGUUGGCUAAUCCUGGUCGGACAUCAGGAGGUUAGUGCAAUGGCAUAAGCCAGCUUGACUGCGAGCGUGACGGCGCGAGCAGGUGCGAAAGCAGGUCAUAGUGAUCCGGUGGUUCUGAAUGGAAGGGCCAUCGCUCAACGGAUAAAAGGUACUCCGGGGAUAACAGGCUGAUACCGCCCAAGAGUUCAUAUCGACGGCGGUGUUUGGCACCUCGAUGUCGGCUCAUCACAUCCUGGGGCUGAAGUAGGUCCCAAGGGUAUGGCUGUUCGCCAUUUAAAGUGGUACGCGAGCUGGGUUUAGAACGUCGUGAGACAGUUCGGUCCCUAUCUGCCGUGGGCGCUGGAGAACUGAGGGGGGCUGCUCCUAGUACGAGAGGACCGGAGUGGACGCAUCACUGGUGUUCGGGUUGUCAUGCCAAUGGCACUGCCCGGUAGCUAAAUGCGGAAGAGAUAAGUGCUGAAAGCAUCUAAGCACGAAACUUGCCCCGAGAUGAGUUCUCCCUGAGACUUAGAGUCUCCUGAAGGAACGUUG